rnacentral:lncRNA from 1 species
AGCAUUUGCUGAGCCUCCUCUGAACACAAGGCGGAUGGUCAAGCAUGGCUGAGGAAGGUUUUCUGGUCAAGAAUCUAGGCUGGGCAUCAUUCUCCCAGUGACCACACGUGGACAGAACAAGAGCAGGCACUGCAGGUCUGCCCCAGCAGGGCCCUUUCCAGCGCUUCAUGAACAAGAGGUGGAGAAGAGACUAGCCGGCUGGAAGGAGCGCCGCAGUCUCUAAGGAGACAUUGACGUGCACAAGUACUAUCAGUCUUGGCUGGUCUUCACCCCUUUCCAAGCCCUCACCACCAUGGACAUGCAAAGAUUGGUGCUUCCCUGAGACCUGCCCACUAGUCACCACAUGCAGAGAAUGGACACUUCAUGCCUCACUGAUGUGAACCUCCAGGACUGACCCUUGUCUUCCACAGAGCUGGAUUUGUGAAAGGAUGACAGCAACCACAGGAAAAAGAAAUCAGUGAGCCACAUUAAAACGCCUUUAUUCCCUGCAACAGUUAAAGCAACAAAAUCUAAUGACAUGAAAUAAACACUGCAAAACUGCAUUCUGACCCCUUGCUGCAAGGUUUUUCAUUAAAACAAUUAGAGCCCAUGGCCCCAAGAAUGCUGAGACACUUUCAAACUUGACAACAUUUAGAUAACUGGAGGAACACCAGCAUCAUGCCUCUGUGUGAACAUUUCGGAGAAGGUGAAAUAAAUUAGGACCUGCAAUACAAUUGGAACUGAAUCCUCAAUAAAAACACUUUCCUCAGAAGUGUGAAUAUGGGCUGAGGAGAUGGUUAUAUUUUGAUGAAUCAAGGACCCCACUCUUUGCAUUUUUCUGUUCUACCAUCCUCAGAGUACUGGAUGGUAACCUCAGGUUUUGCUCUUCAUGGUCAUAAGAUGGCUGCCACUGCACCAAAAACCACAUGCUCAAAGGGUACAUCAAACACUGGAAGGUUGAUGCUUUUCCUCAUGUUGCACAUGCACACACACACACACACACACACACACACACACACACAAAGAAGGAGAACAUCUCCCAGGAACCACUCAGAAGAUUUCCCAGCAAUUCUUGGCCAGGAUAGGGUGGCUCGCCUAUUCCCUAACUACAAAGGAAGCUGGAAAAACAAGUACUGGGCAUAUACUGGGAGGCUAGUUCUACCAUCAGGAAAAGAAAGCAAGAAAAUGGCUGAUGGAAAAGCGAUUAAUAUCUGCCCCCAGUGGGAGAUUCAGUAGUUUGCAUGUCAGAUCAUUACAAUGAGAAAUUUUUAUUUAUGCUGAGUGAAAAUCUGCCUUUUUAUAAUUUCUAAGCAUCAGUCCCAACACUACACCUCUGAGAAGGUGGCUCCACCCUAAAUAGUUUUUAUUUUCCUUUGACAUUUAAAAGUAAUACAUGCCAAUAAUAAAAAUUGCUGAAAGGUAUAACAAGAAAAUAAUUACCCAAAAUCUUACCAUUUAGAAAUAAGUUGUGUUUGCAUCUGAGAACUUUCAGACCUUUUUUUCAAUCUCUUGUCCCUAUUUAUAGUGUUGAGGUUGUCUUUGGGCUGAGAACUCUUUUCCAUAGUUUUUAUUAGGGAGUCUUCUUGGAACCAUUGCCCCAUAACUCUCAAAGGAUCAUCCAGUCCACUUCUGGGUCCUGUGGUCCACUUCCAGGUCCUGUGGUCCACUUCUGGGUCCCCUUCCAGGAGGCUACGGUUACAGAGGCUAUGGCAUCCAUUUGCAUUACAACACUGUACCCAGGCGAGUGCCCAUCCUCCCCUUGCUACAAACUUCUGCACAGACUAAACAACCCCCCAAAACAAAAAUAAAACCUAUUCAUUCUUUUUUAAGAAAAUCAUUAACCUUUUUACUAGAUUCAUGGAAAGCUUAGCCUUUUUCUUUUUUUAACAUCAUCAUAUUUAUUUCUGAACUACAUGAUACGCGGAAGACACCACAAUUUCCCUACUUUUUGGCACGUGUCGUCUUUCAGUCUGAGGUAAACAGUUCCCACUGAAGCUAUGUUGGCUCAUUUAAUAAUUGCCUUGUUAGUUUUCAAUUUGCUGUCAUCAUUUACAAUGACACAGGCAGAAUUUUGUAUUUUCCUGUUUCCCAUUCCUCAUCAGCCAAGGGUCCACAAACUAUACAAACCUGUUUUUAUAAAUAAAGUUUUAUAGGAACACAGUCAUGCUCAAUUGUUUACACAUUGUCUGCGGCUGCAUUUGUGCUACAAUGGCAGAGCUGACUAGUUGCCAUAGAAAGCGUAUGGCCCACAACGCCAAAAAUAUUUACUACCUGGCCCUUUACAGAAAAAGCUUGCUGAACUGUCUUAGGCCAAAAUCCCCUCUAUGUUUUCUACUUCAUUUAUCUUUGACUUUUUUAGUUAAAAAAUUAAAGUUUUAGUUAAAUUUUAAUUUAAAAGUUAUUUUUUAGAUUUCCCUAAAGUCUAGGGCCCAUGACUCUCCAUCUAAACUUUCCCUCACAAGUAUGAAUUCAAGUAACGAUCAUACUAACAGCUAAUGUUUAUUGAAUAUUUGCCCUGUACUAAAUGGACUGAUUUGAUUUUUGCAACCAUGACAUGACGUAGGUACUACUAUCAUCCCCAUUUUUCAGAGGAGAAAACAGAGACACGAUAAGGUAAAGGAAUGUCGCUGAUAAGUAGCAGGGCCAGCAUUUGGACCAUGGGGCAUGAUCUCAGUGCCUAUGCCCUUACCACUGUGCUAUCUGCCUGCCCAGUGAGGUUAUUUUCUCCCAAAGCUUCCCUCACCUUUGUGCUCCCAAUCAGUUUUUCCUUACUGGUUUAAGUUCCAGAUAGAAGAUCUCCGUGUGGUUUUCUUUACCUUCUCGAAGAUUAAUUUGCCAGCAAAGAAAGUCAAAGACUUAUCUAGUUUCCUUCUACUUUUGUUUAAAUGUUUGUCCCCUCCAAAACUCAUGCUGAAAUGUACUUCCAAAUAUGGCAGUAUUAAGAAGUGAGGCCUUUAAGAGUUGAUGGGGUCUGCCCUCCUGAAUGGAUUAAUUGGAUUAAUGGGAAUGAUGGGUUAUCUAGGGGGUGGGACUGGUAGUUUUAUAAGAAGAAAAGAGGACAUGAUGAGCAUGCUCAGUUCCCUAGCCAUGUGAUGCCCUAUGCCAGUCACUCAGGACUCUACAGAGUCCCCACCAGCAAGAAGGCCCUCACCAGAUGUGGCUCCUUGAUCUUGAACUUCUCAGCCUCCAUAACUGUGAAAAAUAAAUUUCUUUUCUUUAUAAAUUACCAGGUUUCAAGUAUUCUGUUAUAAGCAACAGAAAAUGAACUAAGACACCUUCCUAGAAGGACCUAUAGUUGGCAUCUGCCUAGUGUCAUCCCCAUCACGGCUCUACCUGCCCACAGGCUAAUUUAUCAUCUGUAUUCAGAAACCAGCCUGCAUACCUUGUGCACGACCUGGCAGUUUGUGUAUAACUUCUGUCUCUCCUAUUGUUCUAGCCAUGAGCUGCUCUAUUCCAUCUGUGGAGGGAGGGAAGGUUCCAUACAGUUGGCCCCAUACAGGUGCCAAUGAGGGCUUAACAUCAGUGUUCCCCUACCUACAUGUUUUCUUUUAGACAAGGAAUAGCCUUCCAGAACCCCAGCAAAGUUCAAUGGAGACCAACAAGUGCUUGAGACCCACAGAGGAGAUUUCCAACACUUAGAUCACAUGCCCAAGCAUUAAAAAGAAGAACUGUCAAUUUAGUUUCACAAGUGACAGUAGACCCAAGGUAAAUACAGCUUUGCAGGAGCCCAUUAAUUACACAAAGCAAGAUCUACAUUUUAAAAAAAGUGUAUCUUCUACUCAGAGGACUCAGGAAAGUAAGAACUCAGAAGUGAAAAUUAGUAAUAUUUGUAUCAGCCAAAAUAUUCUGAGUAAUUACUUUGCUCCAUGCGUAUGUUAAAAGCUUUUGCGGAUUCACCUCUUUUAAUCCACACUAUUGUUCCACUAUAAUAAUCCAGUAUUAUUAACCAUGAAAAAACGGAAGUUUCAAGAUAUUUUAACAGUGCUCCCAUAUACCUACCUCCCUCUCUCUACCUGAUCAGCAAAAACUAAUCCUGCACAUUUGUGCCCAACCACCACACACAUUCUUACCCCACCCUCCCUGAAGUUUAUUUGUUCUGUGUUCUUUUCUCAGUUCUCUUGGUAAAACAGCCUGUGCACCUACAAUAAACGCUAAUGGAUUCGUCUG